rnacentral:tRNA from 1 species
UCCCUGGUGGCUCAGUGGGUUAAGGAUCUGGCAUUGUUGUUGCUAUGGCACAGGUUUGAUCCCUGGCCAGGGAA